rnacentral:lncRNA from 1 species
AAUACAGAGGAGAUUAAAGUGAAUGAAGCCUAGGGACCCAAGGCAUUGGAAGGUGGGUAUUUAGCCAUGGCAAAGGCUUGUGAGAACAGUUAUUGGCCCAUCCAGCUGUCAUGUAGCAAUCUGAUAAAACUGAAACUUUUUAUGUGCCUUAUCUAAGAAAACCUAGUUGGCACUUUACAUUUGAUAUCUCAUUGAAUGUUUCCGAUAAACUCAUAUUAUUAUUAGUCCCAUCCUACUGAUGAAGAAAGAAACUUAGAGAAUUAACACAACUAUGACUUGCUAAAGCUGGGAUUGAGCCCUGAUUUCUCUGACUUCAAAUUCUAUGGUCCAUGUUCUAGAUCAAUUGAUCCUUUUACCCACUGCCUUUAAGUUAAUAAAUAUGGGCAUUUUAUUUUAUAAAAAUAUUUUUUCUUGUUCAAACAAAGAAUCGAGACAUCUUCCAAUAGUCAAACCUCUUUUACAGUCCAGGAUAUUCCAUCUAUCUUAUUAUUUCUGGGGUAGAAUAGAGAAGUUUAGGCCAGAACAGUUCAGAGAAAUAUAACUAUCUCUUUUCCCUCAGUUUAAAGAAAAAUCUUGGCCACAGUUCAAUAUUUGCAUAUUGCCUUUUAAUCUUCUUUAUUAUUAAAAAAACAUUUAGCAGAUAUUUCUAAACUCAGGGAGAAAAACACAUUUAAACUUUUUAAAAUUGCAACAACCCCAUUUGCUUUUUUAAAUGCCUUGAAAAACAAAUUAAAUUGAAGACAAAAAUUGUCAACUGCUAGCAGUUCCUUCGAGAGUCACGUUGGAAUGGGUAGACUGUCAUCCUCUAAAUCCUCAGCAAUUGGGUUAGAAUGGAGCCCUGUCUCACUUGACCGCCCUUUUGUUUUACUGGUGGAGAAUCAAUCCAAGUGCUAAACAACCAGAAUGGUGUCUUCUAAGAGACCCAGCCUGACAUCUUAUUCUGUGCAAAUGAGUAUAAGGUGGUGAAGAAUGUGAACGGAUGUCUUGGUUUGAAUAUUUUCCAAAAGUAGAAUUUAUGAGGCUAUUGAAAUACUGCUAGACAAGAAUUAUGGCCUAUGCAUUUCCAAGCUGAGAAAUUUAAGAUAGAUUAGAAUGAAACCUCUGCGAUCAGAGCUGUUAACAAGGAGGCUUCUCACCAAUAAGCAAAAUAUUAUGGUAGUCUUGGUGGGGCGGCAGUGGCAGCCAGCUCUUUUUGGCAGAACAGGAAGUGGAUUUAGCAUUUUUAUUCCAAGUUCAUCAAAGUACAGUGCUUUGUAAAUGCUAUCAACUUUUUAUUCAUUCUACUUUUGAAAUCAUGUUGAGGGAAAGGAAUUAUCUUCAACUGCCAAGUAAGGAAGAGUGGGAAGUGGAGGUGAAAUUCAGGUUAUCAUAAUAAGUUAGGAAUUUGGGCCAGAAUGUGGUCUUCCCGAUGCCCAGUAUUUAUCAUUUUACACCUUUCAGUAUACUCUCUGAUGAGAAAUGCUGAUGACUUCAGCACUGGAGAAUCUACCAGCCUGCUGCAUAGCUUGUGAAAUUACAGCUUACUCUUCUAGGAAGUAGACAGGGGUUUCUGAGCUUGGGCAUUUACUUCUUGGGAUCAAUCAAUUCUUCUUUUUUGAAGAAAACUUCUGCAAGAGAUCAUAGCAACAUUCUCCAGCUAUGUUUCUCUCACAAUUCAUGAAAAGAAAAACAUAACUACAUUUAGUCUAUAGAAAAAUCAGUCCAUAAAACCUUGUUUUGAGCUAUCCUACUGCUCAUCUUCAAAGGUAGGAUAGUUCCUAAUAUUCGAGUACUCAGUUUUGAGUUGAGUUUGAGUUUUAAUUUCUCAGUUUUGUGCAAAAUUAUUCCUAUAAAUGACUAUACUCUCACACAAUUUUAUUUUUAUUGAUGGUGGUGAUCAUUUCUUGCUUUUUUUUUUUUUUUCAUUUCUUCUUUUGUUUUUGUUUUCAAUGUUUAGCUUUACUUACUGAUACUAAGUAAAUAAAGUGACAAGCUCUAUAAUCUUAGGCAUAGUACACUGAGCAUUGCUGAAAACAAAUCUAUAUCAAACUAACCUUCCUAGAGAAGGUAAGCACAAGUCAUUGGUUUAAUCACUGCAUUCCAUAAAGGGAGAUUCACUUAACCAGCUUUCCUCUCAGUGCCAGGAAAUCAGCUCAAAGUAUUUUUAUUCAGAUAAGUGAACAUGCUUGUCAUAGCUUACUUAUGCCUGUUAAAUCUUUCUAUGAAAUAUUUUACAGAGAAAUAUGUAAAUAUUUUGACUGCUUAUGCCAUUCUUUUCAGACGGCUUUGCAGAUUACAUGUGGAUCUCUAUAUGAAGCAAGAAGGAAAAGCAAGCAGAAAUUUCUUAAUGCAGCAUUUGGAAUCUUAGUGUAAAUAGCCAAGAAGAGUAAUAUAUUAUUCCUUGAAAUGGCCUCAAAGUGAUACCAGUGAAUGGAAAUACAUUAUGAGUUUUCAGGACAGCACGUUCCCCUACUGACGGCAGAUAAGUAAACCAGUAAGGAGCAGAGUAUCUGCCACAAAUACAUUAGCACAGACUUUGUAUGUAGCAAGACUUAUAUGAGUUUGCUACAUUUUACAUGAACAAAGGUCUAUAAACCAGCCUUUCCUUUCAUUUUUGAAAUGCAUGCUCUUUACAACCUAUAAUUAACAGAUGUGACAUACAUACAUAUAUGGAGUAGAGAAAAGUGAGGGAAUUUUCUCCAGGCAUUCUCAUUAAAUGUAGAAAGACUUUACUCCAGUUGUUAUUUAAUUUGGGUUUUUUUUCAUGAUUAUUAUUGAAGAAAUAAGAUGAUAUUGACAAGACUUGACGAUCAAUGUCAUAGUAUAAUUAUGCCACUUCCACUAUCUGAGAUGACAUAGUUGUGGAUGUUUUUUAACAUCAAAAGACUAUAUUUUCUAUUUUUCCAGUGGAACACUUUUUUUUUUCAGUUUUGCAAGUUAUACAUGCAAACGUAUGACUUAACUGAGAAAAGCAUCCCAUCACUAGAACUUGCUCAUGACUGGAGCUGAAUGAAAUGUCAACCUGGGUUCCUGGUUUAAAGCAACAGAAACCAUCUCUGGCCUUAACCAAAAGGAUAUGCAUUGGAAAGAUAGCAGUGAUGCCCAUAUUAACCAUUGACUGGUAGCAUCAGGCUUAGGAAAAUGUAGCUUGGCUGUCCAGACUGCAGGGAGGGCAGUCAAAGUCACCCUGCAGCAACUGUCUAUUCCACGGACUUCUGUGAUGGUUGGAAUCACCUGACUUCCCUUACCUUUCCUUAUUAUUCUUUUCACUUCCCAUCCAAGAUUCAGAGCUCCAGAACAAGUGCCUUAUCAACAAAGCCUGGCUCGUUGGCCUGUUCUGUGGUACAGCCAGGAGUGGUAGAGGUAGACCCCUGUUUCUGUGGUUUGUGAUAGGAGCAGUAAUAGGAAGCAAGCCCUGGGAACUGGCUUACAACUAUGUUGGCACACAGUGAGGAACUGAUACAAAUAGUGGGGAGUGAAUUACAGUCAGCUGAAGAAUGACAAAUAUCUACCCCGAAUAAAUAUUGCCUUGUGAGUCAUGAUGUGUCUUUAUUGGACUUUUUUUUUUAAUCACUGAACACUAUGAGACCGUGGAUAAGUCCCUUUUGCUGGCUAUUCCUCAGUCUUUAAAAUAACAAUUUUGAUUUAGAGCAAGAUUGGGAGGAAGAUGGCACUUACAUUGUCUUUCUCUUAGGUUCCAUAGUAGACAUCAUUAAUCAAUCCCUGUAUUCUUUUCUUCUGAGACCAGACACGACCUUAGAAUCCUUCUCAAUGUAGUGUUUUGGAGCAACUACCAAAUUAUUAGAGUUGACAAAUGAGCUAAACCUUGCAAAUAUCUCUGAACUAGAGGCUAAUUACAUUUUCUUCAAGUGUUAAUGUGCUCUAAAGUUCUAGGACUAAGAAGUAGUAUUAGUUCAAUUAUUUUAGAAAAGUAGAAAGAAACUAGACCAGGUGGGAACAGACCCAUAAAGUAGUGAUCUCAGUAAUAUCGGAUUGAAGUAAAAGAAAAUAUUUUCAAAUUUGACUGGGUUUCAUUAUGAAUGUUGAGAUGUUGGAAGAACACUUUGUUUCAUUGUAGAAUGUGUUGUUCCUCCCCUGUCAUCAAUGUAAGAAAAGUCCUGAGUUCAUAAAGACCAUUCGUUAAAUAAUAGAAAAAUAAAAUAUUGCUCUGAGGUUUAAAACUAUGAAUUAUAUUAUUGAGAGUAAAUGAAUAUAACAUUAUAUUUUAAAGGUAAAGAAAUUACCCAUUAAAGAUGAAUUAUAUUAUUCAUGGUAAAGGAACUACUAUCGGUAGUCUUUUAAAAUUUAUAGAAUUCAAGAUCUGAAAUAAGUCCAAAAAUCUAUCCUAGAAGUCACUAGGAUAUAUUACUAAACCUGAUAGCUAUUGUGACCAAGUGAACAUAUUUCUUUAGUAUUGUUUUGUUAUCUAUUUUAAGAGUGAGUCUUUGUAUUUAGAUCUUUUUUUAACAUCUCAAGCUACUAUAUAAACUAGUUGGACUUCAAUUUAGGGCCACUAACACCAGAUGGAAUGACUACAGAACAGGAAUUUCUAGUCUCCAACUAGUGAACAGCACUCCUUCUCCACCCAAGAAGUUUCUAUUGUCUUCCACUGGGCUAUGUUUUUAUUAAUGUACACAUCAAAUUUUCUUUUUGGAAUGAUAAUGACUUGUAAUAUGGCCUUAAAUCAUACCAGGAAAAUAGCUCUCUAAUUCUAGGGUAAUUUCUGAUACCAAGAAAUAAUGUCUUCCAAAACAAUUUUUGGACACUGGCUUUCUGUAGGGUACCUAGAUUGAGGUUAGUUUCUCAACCAUUCUUCCCCUGUGGUUUCUAUGGCAGAUUGCAAAAGGACCCCAAACUUCUCCAUCCUAUAUGCAUGUCUUUAACAAUGUAAUUUAAUCAAGAGAAGUGGAGUUUAUUUCUCUACCCCUUGAUUCUGAUCUGGCCACAAAAACUUUCGCCAAAAGUGUUUGCUUUGCCUAAAGGAAUUUUAGCAAAUGUGAUGCAAGCAGAUUCUUGAAAAGUGCUUACUUACACUUUGGGGUAUCUUCUUGCUGUUUUGGGGAGCACUAAGCCCACCCAUGCAAAUUAGUUUAUGCUAGCCUUCUGGAUAAUUAGAAAUACAUGUUCAAAUUAUCUCCAUCGCUCUUGUUAACAUAGAGUCAAUCAUCAGUCAUGUCAGUGAGGCCAUCCAACACCACUCAGCCCUAUCUGAGCUGACCUGGUAUAAACUAACUGCCCAGU